UGGCUCAGAACGAACGCUGGCGGCGCGCCUAACACAUGCAAGUCGAACGAGAAAGCCGCAAGGUGAGUACAGUGGCGCACGGGUGAGUAACACGUGGAUUAUCUGCCCUCUAGUGGGGAAUACCGUUGGGAAACCGACGACAAUACCGCAUAAGCUCGAGAGAGGAAAGCAGCAAUGCGCUGGAGGAGGAGUCCGCGGUCGAUUAGUUAGUUGGUAGGGUAAGAGCCUACCAAGACUGUGAUAAAUAGCCGGCCUGAGAGGGCACACGGCCACACUGGCAUUGAAUCACGGGCCAGAGAACUACGGGAGGCA
rnacentral:rRNA from 1 species